GGGGAGCGUGUUUUAUUAUUAGACGCAACGAACAACCCCUCCCCCGGUUUACACAUCCGGAGCUCCCCCAAAAAAGGGGGUUUCCCUUCAGGGGGCGCAAACACGGGUGCCCCAGGGCUUUUUUCAGCUGGUUUCGGGAGAUUUGGGUUAAAUCCCCCAAACGAGCCCACCCCUCCCCUUUAGUCCCCCCCAAAAAUUGGGCCUUUUAGGGGGACCCCGGGGGGAAAACCGGGAGGAAGGGGGGGAUGACGUCAAGUCCUCAUGCCCCUUACCCCGGGGGCUACACACGUGCUACAAGGGCGGUGACAGGGGGCCGCUACUCGGCGAUGAGGGGCAAAUCUCAAAAACCCGUCUCAGUUCGGAUUGCGUUCUGCAACUCGAGUCCAUGAAGGGGAAUCGCUAGUA
rnacentral:rRNA from 1 species